CACGUAGGGGGCAAGCGUUGUUCGGAUUCAUUGGGCGUAAAGGGUGCGUAGGCGGCGCGGUAAGUCGGGUGUGAAAUCUCGGAGCUUAACUCCGAAACUGCAUUCGAUACUGCCGUGCUUGAGGACUGGAGAGGAGACUGGAAUUUACGGUGUAGCGGUGAAAUGCGUAGAUAUCGUAAGGAAGACCAGUGGCGAAGGCGGGUCUCUGGACAGUUCCUGACGCUGAGGCACGAAGGCCAGGGGAGCAAACGGG
rnacentral:rRNA from 1 species